rnacentral:lncRNA from 1 species
CAGAAACACAAGACAAGGUCUGAAAUGUUUAGGGAAAACAAGAAUGCAGGUGACUGUUUUAAAGUAUUUUUCUCAAAGAAAUAUGCUGUUUUUGUUAUUCAAGGACUUACUACAACCAUGUGUUAAGGUGUUACAAUGACUCCUGGGACACAGGAAGGAAAUGAUAUGGCUGUUUACUUUUUACAUUCAGAUCAUGGGUAUUUAUCUUUGCAUAUUUGGUUGUUUAGUUGUAUUUACAAUAUUUUGUUUCAGUUUUAAGUCUCUUUGAUUUUUUUUCUGACAGUCAGAUCCCCAGCAGACAGCGAUGAGCUUACAGGAGAUGGACCUGCAAGAGUUUCCAUUGAAAACCAAAGUCCCACCGAUAUCAAUGAGGAAGUUGCAGUGCUGAAUUUAACCAACAGAGGGACCCAGAGUAAAGCAGAUCCUCCUGAGACACACAAUGCCAACAAAAAGGCAGGAACUCUUAAAGGGCCACAGUUACUGAAAGAUGACGUGUCCCAGAUGGGGGGCAAAAGAAAACGGUUUGUUCUUUAAUUUGACCAAGAUAAAUAUAUUAGAUUCAUAUAUAUU